rnacentral:rRNA from 1 species
GGGCCCGCACAAGCGGUGGAGCAUGUGGUUUAAUUCGAUGAUACGCGAGGAACCUUACCAGGGCUUAAAUGUAGUCUGACAGGCGUGGAAACAUGCUUUUCUUCGGACAGAUUACAAGGUGCUGCAUGGUUGUCGUCAGCUCGUGCCGUGAGGUGUCAGGUUAAGUCCUAUAACGAGCGCAACCCCUGUUGUUAGUUGCCAGCGAGUCAUGUCGGGAACUCUAACAAGACUGCCAGUGCAAACUGUGAGGAAGGUGGGGAUGACGUCAAAUCAUCACGGCCCUUACGUCCUGGGCCACACACGUGCUACAAUGGUAGGUACAGAGAGCAGCCACUGCGCGAGCAGGAGCGAAUCUAUAAAACCUAUCUCAGUUCGGAUCGGAGUCUGCAACUCGACUCCGUG